rfam:Tupaia chinensis contig111725, whole genome shotgun sequence.
AGUUGGCUUAAUCUCAGCUGGCAACUGUGAGAUGCUCCUGUAAUCCCUCACAGUGGUCUCUGGGAUUAUGCUAAAC